CCUACGGGACGCAGCAGUGGGGAAUAUUGCACAAUGGGGGAAACCCUGAUGCAGCAACGCCGCGUGAGUGAAGAAGGCCUUCGGGUCGUAAACUUCUGUCCUUGGGGAAGAAGAACUGACGGUACCCAAGGAGGAAGCCCCGGCUAACUACGUGCCAGCAGCCGCGGUAAUACGUAGGGGGCAAGCGUUAUCCGGAAUUAUUGGGCGUAAAGAGUACGUAGGUGGCAACCUAAGCGCAGGGUUUAAGGCAAUGGCUCAACCAUUGUUCGCCCUGCGAACUGGGAUGCUUGAGUGCAGGGAGGAAA
rnacentral:rRNA from 1 species